GUAAACUACCCGCCGCUAAGUCGGAGUACCGACUCUAGCGGGGGCUUUUAAAGAAGCAAGCGAGUUUACCAGGCUGAGUGUUAAUUCACUACGUUACGAAAGUCAAGAUACCUAAGAAUGCGUAGCCAGUUUUUAGCUCUAUC
rnacentral:sRNA from 21 species